rnacentral:rRNA from 1 species
UCAAGUCCUCAUGGCCCAUUUAUGCCCAGGGCUGCAAACGUGCUACAAUGGCGCGUACAAAGGGCAGCAAAACCGCGAGGUCGAGCAAAUCCCAUAAAACCAUUCUCAGUUCGGAUUGUAGGCUGCAACUCGCCUACAUGAAGCUGGAAUCGCUAGUAAUCGCGGAUCAGCAUGCCGCGGUGAAUACGUUCCCGGGCCUU